GCCUGCAUGAAGUUGGAAUUGCUAGUAAUCGCGGAUCAGCAUGCCGCGGUGAAUACGUUCCCGGGGAUUGUACACACCGCCCGUCACACCAUGAGAGUCGGGAACACCCAAAGUCUGUAGUCUAACCGCAAGGAGGACGCGGCCUAAGGUGGGUUCGAUAAUUGGGGUGAAGUCGUAACAAGGUAAC
rnacentral:rRNA from 1 species